UAGGGAAUCUUCGGCAAUGGGGGGAACCCUGACCGAGCAACGCCGCGUGAGUGAAGAAGGUUUUCGGAUCGUAAAGCUCUGUUGUUAAGGAAGAACGAGUGUGAGAAUGGAAAGUUCAUACUGUGACGGUACUUAACCAGAAAGGGACGGCUAACUACGUGCCAGCAGCCGCGGUAAUACGUAGGUCCCGAGCGUUGUCCGGAUUUAUUGGGCGUAAAGCGAGCGCAGGCGGUUAGAUAAGUCUGAAGUUAAAGGCAGUGGCUCAACCAUUGUAGGCUUUGGAAACUGUAUAACUGGAGUGCAGAAGGGGAGAGUGGAAUUCCAUGUGUAGCGGUGAAAUGCGUAGGUAUAUGGAGGAACACCGGUGGCGAAAGCGGCUCUCGGGUCUGUAACUGACGCUGAGGCUCGAAAGCGUGGGGAGCGAACAGG
rnacentral:rRNA from 1 species